rnacentral:rRNA from 1 species
CCAUUAAUACCCAUCAUUUUUCAGAACCCGGCACCAGUAUUGAGUCUUCCUAUAUUCAUAUAGAAAAGUUGAUGUUAGAACUAGUAACGUAGAAUUUUUUCUCCCUAUGUAAGUGUAAAUCAGAUCGAAUAACUCACUGAUAAUUAUACGGCUAUGAAAUCAACGUAGCAACCACCAACCAUGAAAACCCUACUGCUUCACCCGUUAACCUAACACAAGAACAUUAAAGAAAGAUUAAAAGACAAAGAAGGAACUCGGCAAACCCAAGUCCCGCCUGUUUACCAAAAACAUCGCCUCUUGAAAACUAUAAGAGGUAAUGCCUGCCCAGUGACAUGUGUUUAACGGCCGCAGUAUUUUGACUGCGCGAAGGUAGCGUAAUAACUUGUUUUUUAAAUAAAGACUAGUAUGAAUGGCCCCACGAGGACUUAACUGUCUCCUUUGUCCAAUCAGUGAAACUGACCCCCCCGUGCAGAAGCGGGGAUAACACCAUAAGACGAGAAGACCCUAUGGAGCUUUAAACCAAACCAACUAUCUUUUAUUAUACCCCCACGGGACUAAUAAACAUCAAGAUUCGAUUGAUAUAAGUUUUAGGUUGGGGCGACCAUGGAGAAAAACUUAACCUUCCUGACGAUCUAUAAACCAAGAGCUUCAGCUCUAAGUAUUAAGACACUUAACCCUCAUUGACCCACUCUGUGAUCAACGAACCAAGUUACCCUAGGGAUAACAGCGCAAUCCAUUUCAAGAGUCCUUAUCGACAAAUGGGUUUACGACCUCGAUGUUGGAUCAGGGCACCCAAG